UCCGUUCAUUUGUUUCGAAGCGCAGCCCCUGAGCCUCCGGCCCUCACCAACGUCGUCCCUCACCAACGUCAUCUCAUUCUCCGUCUUCGCUGUCAUCGUCGUCGUCUUCGUGGAUUCAUUUGUGUUCGGUUCUGUUAUUCGUGUCCUCUUCCUCACCAGCUCAUUGUUCUUCCUUUGAUCGGGUUCGUCUUAAGUCACCUUGGUCCCGCAGGAAAAGAAAACAUGCUCUUUCAGCUCAGCAAUGGAGGCUUUUCUUUACACCAGAUGGCAAGCUUCGUGAUGGUGGAGUUAAGUUGGUGAAGAAAGUUCGCAGUGGAGGUGUUGAUCCAAGUUUUUCAACUACUAUUUUGGGAUUCCCGAUUUGUCCCGAAAUCCUGAAACUAAUUCGGGAUUCCCGAAAAUUGGGAUUCCCGAAAAUUUGGUUUGGGAUCGGUAUUGAAAUUGGGAUUCCCGAAAAUUUCGGUUUGGGAAUCGGGACAAGGGUUUCGGUAUGGGAACCCAUACCGAACCACCCCUACCGGGGACUUCAAUGAGUUUCUUUGGGAUCAUGAAAAGUCAGGGGGUGUGGAGGUCUUAUACAAUAGGCCAAGGUAUCUGGAGGAAUUUAUUUAUGCUACUAAUAUGUGGGAUUUGGAUUUUAAUGGUCAUGCUUUCACUUGGCGUGGUAUGCGCCAUGGAGAUUUGGUGGAGGAACGGAUUGAUAGGGCUCUGAUCAACGGGUUAUGGCAGUAUAUGUGGCCUAAUUCCAUGGUUACGCAUGGGACGAUUUUGGGGUCUAAUCAUUGUCCUAUUAUUAUUCAAUCUGAUUCGGGGAGUGUGCGGGGACGCAGGGCGUUCAAAUUUGAGGCAUUCUGGGCUAAGGAGGAGGAGUGUAAUCAGUUUGUGAGCUCUUGCUGGAAUCGGCCAGAACCUGGUGAGAUCUUGGUGAGGUGGACGAAGAAAAUUAACGAUUGUAAAUCCAGUCUUAUACGGUGGAACCGUAAUAAAUUCAAGAAGAGGGGUCAUCAGAUUCAGGAACUUCUUCACCAGUUGCAGGAGCUUUAAAUAGAUUGGCGCUCUAAUAUUGAAGAUAUUAAGCAGAAAUCUCGGUUUGUUGAUGAUCUGUGGGCUCAAGAGGAAAGUUACUGGAUGCAGCGAUCUAGAGUUAAGUGGCUUCGCGAUGAGGAUGCUAACACCAAAUUCUUUCAUAAUUCAACUUUGCAUCGAAGACGGCGAAACCAGAUUAUCAAAAUAAAUGAUGAGCUUGGGAAUUGGGUGGAGCAACCUUGUCGUGUUCGAAAGUUGGUGGAAGAUCAUUUUAUGCAAACUUUUACAUCAGGAUAAGCUAGGAAUUGGGGAUCAAUGUUGGGCUGUAUUAGCCCGUAUGUGACUGGGGAUAUGAAUCAGGAGCUAUUAAUGCCGGUUACUAAGGAUGAAAUUAAGGCCGCGGUUUUCAAAAUGGGCGGUCUAAAGCUCCUGGACCGGAUGGAUUUCAAGGUAUAUUUUAUCAAUCUUAUUGGGAUCAUGUUUAUAGGGGAUGUUAGUGCUUUGGUGAGGGAGUUGAUGCAGGGCACGAGUAGUCCGUCUACUCUUAAUUCUACUCAUAUUGUCUUGAUCCCCAAGGUUCCUCACGCGGAGUCGGUUUCGCAGUUCCGGCCUAGUAGUCUUUGUAAUUACUCCUACAAAGUGUUGUUAAAGGUUUUGGUGAACCGUUUGAAGGUUAUUUUACCAAAGAUCAUCUCUCCCUCCCAAAAUGCUUUUGUGGCGGGGCGACAAAUUCAAGAUAAUAUUGGGAUUGCUCAUGAAAUGUUCCACUUUUUUGAAAUGGAGGACAUCGAAAUGUAAGUUUGAAAUGGGUAUUAAAUUGGAUAUGCAGAAAGCCUAUGAUAGGGUGGAAUGAGAUUUUCUCGAUGCGGUUAUGAAGAGAAUGGGUUUCUGUAGUAUGUGGAGAAAGCUUGUUAUGGGAUGUGUUUCUUCUGUUAAAUUUGUGGUCCUUAUCAAUGGGCAGCCAGGUGACAAGUUUGCUCCUUCUAGGGGUCUCAGGCAGGGAGACCCAUUAUCUCUGUAUAUGUUUAUUUUACUUGGGGAGGUUCUUUCGAGCAUGAUUCAUGAAGCGGUUGAUGAUAAAAGGUUGGAAGGAAUGCGGCUCGGUGUCUCGGGGCCUAUCAUUUCUUACAUGUUUUUUGCGGACAAUACUCUUCUUUUUCUGAGAGCAGAUGUAAAUAAUUGCUUAUGUGAAAGGGAGAAGUGUGGCCUUGCUUAUGUGAAGGGGAGAAUCUUGGGAAAGCUCCAAGGGUGGAAACAGAGUGCUUUGUCGCGGGUGGGAAGAGAAGUUUUGAUUAAGGCUGUGGUCCAAGCUAUUCCUGCUUAUCCUAUGAGCAUUUUUAAAUUUCCUGCUGUUGUUUGAUAGGAAUUGGAUGCCAUGGUUGCGAGGUUUUGGUGGGUAAGCCACGGGGAAGACCGAAAGAUUCACUGGGUGUCCAAUGAGGUCUUUGGCCUUUCUUAGGAUAUGGGUGGCAUGGGUUUCAGGAAUUUUCAAGAUUUUAAUGAUGCAUUACUAGCUAAGCAGUGAUGUAGGUUAAUUACGGAGCCGAAUUUGUUGUGGGCUCGGGUUAUUAAGGCCCAGUACUUCCCGCAUUGUUCUUUUUGGGAGGUUAAAAAAAGAGCAAGGGCGUCGUGGGCUUGGUCCAGUCUUCUCUCGGGCAGGGAGCUUCUUGCCAACGGUUCCCAUUGGCAGAUUAUGGGUGGGGAAGAUGUGAGGGCUUAGGUGGACAGGUGGCUGCCAUUAUUACAGUCGCGGCACCCUAUGCCGCUUGGUGUGGUUGAAGUUACAAAAAAUUUACGAGUUAGCUCCCUCAUUGACUCUUCUUCCCGGCAAUGGGAUAUUGAUUUUUUGAGACCGCUUCUCUCUAUGGUGAAUCAAAGGGCUAUUCAAGAAACACUUAUUGGAGACUCGAGGAGGAAAUACCGACUUGUUUGGGCUGCUAGCUGGAAUGGUAAAUAUUCUGUUAAAUCGGGUUAUAGGUGGCUUCAAAUUCAAUCUUUAGAUGUCAGGGAUCAUCGUCUGCCUGUAGUUCAUUCGAUUCCAAAAAAAUUGUGGGCUAUUAUUUGGAAGUUGGAGGUGCCUCCAAAAAUUCGGCCACUACUACAAAA